GACGAACGCUGGCGGCGUGCCUAAUACAUGCAAGUCGAGCGGACGGAUGGGAGCUUGCUCCCAGACCGUCAGCGGCGGACGGGUGAGUAACACGUGGGCAACCUGCCUGUAAGACUGGGAUAACUCCGGGAAACCGGGGCUAAUACCGGAUAACUCUUUCCCUCACAUGAGGGAAAGCUGAAAGAUGGCAUCUCGCUAUCACUUACAGAUGGGCCCGCGGCGCAUUAGCUAGUUGGUGAGGUAACGGCUCACCAAGGCGACGAUGCGUAGCCGACCUGAGAGGGUGAUCGGCCACACUGGGACUGAGACACGGCCCAGACUCCUACGGGAGGCAGCAGUAGGGAAUCUUCCGCAAUGGACGAAAGUCUGACGGAGCAACGCCGCGUGAGUGAUGAAGGUUUUCGGAUCGUAAAACUUUGUUGUCAGGGAAGAACAAGUACCGGAGUAACUGCCGGUACCUUGACGGUACCUGACCAGAAAGCCACGGCUAACUACGUG
rnacentral:rRNA from 1 species